UACGUAGGCAGCAAGCGUUGUUCGGAGUUACUGGGCGUAAAGAGUAUGUAGGCGGUUGCGUAAGUUCGGUGUGAAAUCUCCCGGCUUAACUGGGAGGGUGCGCCGAAAACGUGCGUGGCUUGAGUGCGGGGAGAGGAGAGCGGAAUUCCUGGUGUAGCGGUGAAAUGCGCAGAUAUCAGGAGGAACACCGGUGGCGAAGGCGGUUCUCGUGGGCAUUACCUGACGUGAGGAGCGAAAGUGUGGGGAGCGAACAGGA
rnacentral:rRNA from 1 species